rnacentral:misc_RNA from 1 species
GAAAUGCGAUACGUAAUGUGAAUUGCAGAAUUCCGUGAAUCAUCGAAUCUUUGAACGCACAUUGCACUCUAUUUCGGUAGAGUAUGCCUGUUUGAGAACCUAUAAACCAUUCUCUAAGGUUAUGCUGCAGAUUUUGCAGUAUUGGCCCUAGAGAGAUUUGAGACGUUGCACUUACACUGCAUGUCUUUAAAACUAUUGCUGCUUUGACUAUAGAAGUGCUUGAUGUCUCUAUCAAUUGCGGAAAUGUAUGUGUAUGAAACCUAGUUUCUCAUUAUGCAAACUACGUGGUCUAGAGUCGUAGCUUUUAUAGGACUUGGUACUCACCUAUUAGAGUCUAAUACUUACCUAGUGAGUGUUAGCCUUCAACCAUGGUCUCAAAUCAGGUAGGACUACCCGCUGA